ACCACCACCUACACAAGGUUCACUACACCUGAUACCACCACCUACACAAGCUCACUACACCUGACACCACCACCUACACAAGACUCACUACACCUGCCACCACCACCUACACAAGACUCACUACACCUUCCACCACCACCUACACAAGACUCACUACACCUUCCACCACCACCUACACAAGGUUCACUACACCUGCCACCACCACCUACACAAGGUUCACUACACCUGACACCACCACCUACACAAGACUCACUACACCUGACACCACCACCUACACAAGGUUCACUACACCUGCCACCACCACCUACACAAGGUUCACUACAUUUGACACCACCACCUACACAAGACUCACUACACCUGACACCACCACCUACACAAGGUUCACUACACCUGCCACCACCACCUACACAAGGUUCACUACAUCUGACACCACCACCUACACAAGACUCACUACACCUGACAACCACCACCUACACAAGGUUCACUACACCUGCCACCACCACCUACACAAGACUCACUACACCUGCCACCACCACCUACACAAGGUUCACUACACCUUCCACCACCACCUACACAAGGUUCACUACACCUUCCACCACCACCUACACAAGACUCACUACACCUGCCACCACCACCUACACAAGGUUCACUACACCUGCCACCACCACCUACACAAGGUUCACUCACCCUUAAGACUCCAAAGUCAAUUCUGUGAGGUUUGAAUCAUGAGAAACAAGAAAGAGUAUUCUUGAUGGACAUACAACAAGGUCUCCAUGAUGAGUAUUCAGUAGUUGUAUUAACUCCACAUUAUGUGUCAGUUAUAUACACUAUGUUGUCAGUAUUAGGAACAAAAAUGUAAUAUCCAGUUUGCUUCUACAUGCAGUUAUACUGUUCAGCCUACAACACUUAUUACCAGAAACCAGCACCAUAACAGCACCACAACAAUUAUUACCAGAAACCAGCACCAUAACAGCAUCACAACACUUAUUACCAGAAACCAGCACCAUAACAGCACCACAAACACUUAUUACCAGAAACCAGCACCAUAACAGCACCACAACACUUAUUACCAGAAACCAGCACCAUAACAGCACCACAACACUUAUUACCAGAAACCAGCACCAUAACAGCACCACAACACUUAUUACCAGAAACCAGCACCAUAACAGCACCACAACACUUAUUACCAGAAACCAGCACCAUAACAGCCCCACAACA